CUUUGCCGUACUCUUCGGUUACAUUCCUCUGACUCAUAUUUAUUCAGUGGCUCCCAGAAGUGAUUCACAUGUAACUUCUCCCCACAAUAUCCAACCACUAUCCAGCAAAGAGUUAAUGAGAAUACUCAAAUGUAUCAGUGGUGAACCAAAGAAUCCAUUCUACACUUAAUUAAUUUAAUCAUAAGUUGCAAUGUGCUGGAAGGUAAAUCGAAACAAAACAAAGCAAAGCAAGGCAAAAAAAAAAAAAUAAAGAAAAAUCCGAC